UACGAAGGGUGCAAACGUUGCUCGGAAUUAUUGGGCGUAAAGCGCACGUAGGCGGCUCAACAAGUCGGAUGUGAAAUCCCUCGGCUCAACCAAGUAAGUGCACCCGAAACUGUCGAGCUUGAAUAUGGAAGAGGGUCGCGGAAUUCCCGGUGUAGAGGUGAAAUUCGUAGAUAUCGGGAGGAACACCAGUGGCGAAGGCGGCGACCUGGGCCAAUAUUGACGCUGAGGUGCGAAAGCGUGGGGAGCAAACAGG
rnacentral:rRNA from 1 species